rnacentral:rRNA from 1 species
GAUGAACGCUGGCGGCGUGCCUAAUACAUGCAGGUCGAGCGAACAGACGAGGAGCUUGCUCCUCUGACGUUAGCGGCGGACGGGUGAGUAACACGUGGAUAACCUACCUAUAAGACUGGGAUAACUUCGGGAAACCGGAGCUAAUACCGGAUAAUAUAUUGAACCGCAUGGUUCAAUAGUGAAAGACGGUUUUGCUGUCACUUAUAGAUGGAUCCGCGCCGCAUUAGCUAGUUGGUAAGGUAACGGCUUACCAAGGCAACGAUGCGUAGCCGACCUGAGAGGGUGAUCGGCCACACUGGAACUGAGACACGGUCCAGACUCCUACGGGAGGCAGCAGUAGGGAAUCUUCCGCAGUGGGCGAAAGCCUGACGGAGCAACGCCGCGUGAGUGAUGAAGGUCUUCGGAUCGUAAAACUCUGUUAUUAGGGAAGAACAAAUGUGUAAGUAACUAUGCACGUCUUGACGGUACCUAAUCAGAAAGCCACGGCUAACUACGU